rnacentral:rRNA from 1 species
AGAGUUUGAUCAUGGCUCAGAACGAACGCUGGCGGCAGGCUUAACACAUGCAAGUCGAACGAUGUAGCAAUACAUAGUGGCGCACGGGUGAGUAACGCGUGGGAAUAUACCUUAUAGUGGGGAAUAACUUUGGGAAACUAAAGCUAAUACCGCAUACGCCCGAGAGGGGAAAGAUUUAUCGCUAUAAGAUUAGCCCGCGUGAGAUUAGGUAGUUGGUGGGGUAAUGGCCUACCAAGCCUACGAUCUCUAGCUGGUCUGAGAGGAUGAUCAGCCACACUGGAACUGAGACACGGUCCAGACUCCUACGGGAGGCAGCAGUGGGGAAUAUUGGGCAAUGGAGGAAACUCUGACCCAGCCAUGCCGCGUGAAUGAUGAAGGCCUUAGGGUUGUAAAGUUCUUUCGCCGAUGAAGAUAAUGACGGUAGUCGGAGAAGAAGCCCCGGCUAACUUCGUGCCAGCAGCCGCGGUAAUACGAAGGGGGCUAGCGUUGUUCGGAAUUACUGGGCGUAAAGCGAGCGUAGGUUGCUCGAUAAGUCAGUGGUGAAAGCCCAGAGCUCAACUCUGGAACUGCCAUUGAAACUGUCGAGCUGGAAUCUCAGAGGGGGUAGCGGAAUUCCAAAUGUAGGGGUGAAAUCCGUAGAUAUUUGGAGGAACACCGGUGGCGAAGGCGGCUACCUGGAUGAGUAUUGACACUGAGGCUCGAAAGCGUGGGGAUCAAACAGGAUUAGAUACCCUGGUAGUCC